rfam:Trichobilharzia regenti genome assembly, scaffold: TRE_scaffold0012234
AUCCAGCUGACGAGUCCCAAACAGGACGAAAUCCACGUUAUCCUGGAU